rnacentral:sRNA from 1 species
GCUGGACAAGGUGGCACAUGCCUGUAAUCCCAGUGGCUUGGGAGGCUGAGACAGGAGGACUGAGAGUUCAAAGCCACCCUCAAUGACAGUGAGGUGCUAAGCAACUCAGUGAGACCCUGUCUCUA